CGCGCUUGAAUUAUUUGCAGUCACCUUCAGGUCGCGGUUCGGUGAAGACGUACUAUCGUAGUGCUCGCGGUUUCCUUAUCAUUUUUCGUUAUAAUUUGGAAGAGACAACGAGAAUAUUGCAUACACAAGUGUUGUUAGUGUUGCCUGCCUAAGUAAUUGUCGUGAUCUGCGCGCCAUGAAGAACAACAGAAAAUGAAAAGGGCAUUCAGCGGAUAUUUUCGCGGAGGAGGAAAUCGAGACAGCAGACGCUUUCGCAGCGGCACGUCGCAGCAAACUGCGUUUAACGUCCGUCUACGAUGCAACCACCUGUGCGACGAAAUGCCAGGAGUGCACAGCUGAUCCGUCGAUGAGUGAAACUCCAUAAAUUAUCGGGCGAUUCUCUCCAACUCUCCGCGGACGAUUCUUUUCUCUCAGGAACAUGACGCAUGCUGUAAGAUCGAGCACACAAGCAUUGGCCGUGAUCGUGACUUUCGAGAGGCAACAUAAAAUUCGGGAGUGCCGUUAAAAGUAUCGCGCGUACAAGUGCGGGAGUGCCGUUAAAAAAUCGCGUAUACGAGUGCGGGAGUGCCGUUAAAAAUAUCGCGCGUGUUAAUCAACAGAUUUUGACAACCCUGACAACCUGAGAGGAGGAGAAAGCUUAGGAGAGGCAUCAGGUACUUG